GUUUUCCUAUGUGUGUAUGGUGUUCAGCACCAAGGACAGAUAUGUAUGUGUUCCUAUGUGUGUAUGGUGUUAAGCACCAAGGACAGGUAUGUGUGUGU
rfam:Branchiostoma floridae genomic scaffold BRAFLscaffold_1, whole genome shotgun sequence.